UACGUAGGCAGCAAGCGUUGUUCGGAGUUACUGGGCGUACAGGGUGUGUAGGCGGUUGGAUAAGUGUGGUGUGAAAUCUCCCGGCUUAACUGGGAGGGUGCGCUACAAACUGUCUGACUAGAGUAUGGGAUGGGAGAGUGGAAUUCCUGGUGUAGCGGUGAAAUGCGUAGAUAUCAGGAGGAACACCGGUGGUGUAGACGGCUCUCUGGACCAUUACUGACGCUGAGACACGAAAGCGUGGGUAGCAAACAGG
rnacentral:rRNA from 1 species